rnacentral:rRNA from 1 species
CCUACGGGUGGCAGCAGUGAGGAAUAUUGGUCAAUGGACGCAAGUCUGAACCAGCCAUGCCGCGUGAAGGAAGACGGCUCUAUGAGUUGUAAACUGCUUUUGUACGAGGGAAAACGCAGAUACGCGUAUCUAUCUGAAAGUAACGUACGAAUAAGGCGCGGCCAACUCAGUGCCAGCAGCCGCGGUAAGACUGAGGAUUCAAGCGUUAUCCGGAUGUAUUGGGUUUAAAGGGUGCGCAGGCGAAUUUUUAAGUCAGCGGUAAAAUCGUGGGGCUCAACCCCAUCCAGCCGUUGAAACUGGGGAUCUAGAGUGUGCGAGAGGUAUGCGGAAUGCGUGGUGUAGCAGUGAAAUGCAUAGAUAUCACGCAGAACCCCGAUUGCGAAGGCAGCAUACCGGUGCACAACUGACGCUCAGGCACGAAAGCGUGGGUAUCGAACAGGAUUAGAUACCCGUGUAGUC